rfam:Ricinus communis cultivar Hale ctg_1100012318049, whole genome shotgun sequence.
GGGUGCGAUCAUACCAGCACUAAUGCACCGGAUCCCAUCAGAACUCCGAAGUUAAACGUGCUUUUGCGGGAGUAGUACUAAGAUGGGUGACCUCUUGGGAAGUCCUCGUGUUGCACCCC